GAAGUGAAACAACCUUUUUAACUAGACAACCCCUUCAAUGCCUCUUUCACACAGGCGUCGCGUGUGAGGGCCGGAUAGAAUGCGGAUGCGUCGCAGGAAAAUCGUGAAAUUUUGCCUGCGAGUUGGGUGAGUUUUGUAUGUGAUUGCGUUGCGUUCUUUAGUUUUUUCCACGUGAGUGCAAUGCAUUUUGCA